GAUGAACGCUGGCGGCGUGCCUAAUACAUGCAAGUCGAGCGAACGGACGAGAAGCUUGCUUCUCUGAUGUUAGCGGCGGACGGGUGAGUAACACGUGGAUAACCUACCUAUAAGACUGGGAUAACUUCGGGAAACCGGAGCUAAUACCGGAUGAUAUUUUGAACCGCAUGGUUCAAAAGUGAAAGACGGUCUUGCUGUCACUUAUAGAUGGAUCCGCGCUGCAUUAGCUAGUUGGUAAGGUAACGGCUUACCAAGGCAACGAUGCAUAGACGACCUGAGAGGGUGAUCGGCCACACUGGAACUGAGACACGGUCCAGACUCCUACGGGAGGCAGCAGUAGGGAAUCUGCCGCAAUGGGCGAAAGCCUGACGGAGCAACGCCGCGUGAGUGAUGAAGGUCUUCGGAUCGUAAAACUCUGUUAUUAGGGAAGAACAUAUGUGUAAGUAACUGUGCACAUCUUGACGGUACCCAAUCAGAAAGCCACGGCUAACUACGUG
rnacentral:rRNA from 1 species